rnacentral:rRNA from 1 species
UACGAAGGGCCCAAGCGUUAUCCGGAUUUAUUGGGUUUAAAGGGUGCGUAGGCGGGUUAUUAAGUCAGUGGUGAAAGCCUUCAGCUUAACUGAAGAAUUGCCAUUGAUACUGAUGAUCUUGAGUAUGAUUGAGGUGGGCGGAAUGUGUCAUGUAGCGGUGAAAUGCGUAGAUAUGACACAGAACACCGAUUGCGAAGGCAGCUCACUAAGUCAUAACUGACGCUGAUGCACGAAAGCGUGGGGAGCAAACAGG